rnacentral:rRNA from 1 species
UACGGAGGGGGCAAGCGUUGUUCGGAAUUAUUGGGCGUAAAGCGUAUGUAGGCGGCUAAGCAAGUCAGGCGUGCAAGCCCGUGGCUCAACCACGGAAUUGCGUUUGAAACUGCUUAGCUUGAGUACAGGAGAGGAAAGCGGAAUUCCCAGUGUAGCGGUGAAAUGCAUUGAUAUUGGGAAGAACAUCUGUGGCGAAGGCGGCUUUCUGGUCUGUUACUGACGCUGAGAUACGAAAGCCAGGGGAGCGAACGGG